rnacentral:rRNA from 1 species
UACGGGGGGGGCAAGCGUUGUUCGGAAUUACUGGGCGUAAAGUGUGCGCAGGCGGCCGCGCAAGUCGAGUGUGAAAUCCCCGAGCUUAACUUGGGAAUUGCGCUCGAAACUACGUGGCUGGAGUGUGGCAGAGGAAGGUGGAAUUCCACGUGUAGCGGUGAAAUGCGUAGAUAUCGGGAGGAACACCUAUGGCGAAGGCAGCUCGCUGGGACGUUACUGACGCUGAGACGCGAAAGCGUGGGGAGCAAACAGG